rnacentral:rRNA from 1 species
AUGGAAGGGGUGGUGCUGGAGGUGGAGGACAUCGCCAAGGCGGCGCUGUACCUGGCGUUCGACGACUCCAAGCGAGCGGCGAGGAGCACCGGCCACAACGAGAUGGAAGGGGUGGUGCUGGAGGUGGAGGACAUCGCCAAGGCGGCGCUGUACCUGGCGUCCGACGACUCCAAGUACGUCAACGGCCACAACCUCGUCGUCGACGGCGGGUUCACGGCGGGGAAGGCACCCAACAUGCCGGCACCGGCACAAUGA